ACGAACGCUGGCGGCGUGCUUCACCCAUGCCAGUCGCACGGAAAGGCUCCAGCUUGCUGGAGUGCUCGAGUGGCGAACGGGUGAGUAACACGUGGGCAAUCUGCCCUGCACUCUGGGAUAAGCCUGGGAAACUGGGUCUAAUACCGGAUAGGACCUUUCUCCUCAUGGGGUUUGGUGGAAAGUUUUUCGGUGCAGGAUGAGCCCGCGGCCUAUCAGCUUGUUGGUGGGGUAAUGGCCUACCAAGGCGACGACGGGUAGCCGGCCUGAGAGGGUGAUCGGCCACAUUGGGACUGAGAUACGGCCCAGACUCCUACGGGAGGCAGCAGUGGGGAAUAUUGCACAAUGGGCGAAAGCCUGAUGCAGCGACGCCGCGUGAGGGAUGACGGCCUUCGGGUUGUAAACCUCUUUCAGUAGGGACGAAGCGCAAGUGACGGUACCUGCAGAAGAAGCACCGGCUAACUACGUG
rnacentral:rRNA from 1 species